GCGGCCCGGCCCGGAAGUGCCGCGUUUGGCACGAGGGGAGGUUGUACCGGGACGGAGAGCCGUCCGACCCUUUCCGUUCCGUGCACGAGAAGGCCCUGAGCCCGAGCUCUGCAUGCGGCCCGGCCCGGUCCCACCGCCCCCCAUCCGAUCCCUCUCGGCCUUUGUGCGGAGCGGCCCCGCGGCUCUCAGCCCGGCCUUCGGGAGCCGCUCCAUCCCCGCAGCUCUCCCGGCAGUUCCCGUUCCCAGCGGACCUGAGCGCAGUUCUGCAGCGGCUCUGCCCGCAGCUCGGCUCCCGUUGGCCUUCGGGCCGCGCCGAGCGCUCACGGUCACCUCUUACCCCCCGGCACCCCCGGCUCCUUCACAGCCGCUCAGCCCCGUAUGGCACCGAUGGUUCCUCCUCCGUGUGCCCGCACUGAGGGCCGGGCGGUCGUAGCGCGGCGUGGAUGCGGGGCGUUGAAGCGCAGCCGUUUGGGCUCUGCCGGUCGUGGGGAACGGCGGGACCGCAUCGCUGCCUCUCCCGUCCCCACCGCUGCCAUUCCACGGGUGCUGCUCGCAGCUUUGCUCUGCAAUCCGGCUGUUUCGGGAGGGUAAAACAGAUCCCGAGCUUUUCCCACUCAACUCCACACCCGCCUCUUACGCUGAUGGGUGAAGCGUCAUCCCGCAGGUAACGGCCCGGCAGGCAUCGAAGCAAUGACCGCAUAUAGGAAGGUUCCCUUUCCCUGGCACAGCUCUGUGGCAGCUCCAGCAGCACCCCGAGCUCCACUGCUGCCACGAGUUGGCUGAGGACGCAUCAGGACUCCCCCACAUCUCGGAUUCCAUCACCUAAAGCCGAUGGGAGGAAGAAGUCUUUGUCUUUUGCUGCUCUUCUCGUUGCUUUCCUUCAGCUGCUCUCAGGUUGUUUGCGUUGUCUGAAGUGGAAACGAAGCCACAGUUGUUCCCAUUUCACCCAUCGCCGCUCGGGCCGCCAUCACAACAGUGUGUUGUUUUGUCAGCGUGCACAAAGCAGAAGGGAAAUCAGCUCACAGCUCUGCAAUCACAUCGGCUCUGCAGUGCUGACGGGAGGGAAAAGCGGCGCUGAACUUAAUGGGAACCGUCGGGACAAAAAAGGGCUCCUGGUCUGCAUGGCCACGGCCCCUCCACCGCUCCUGUGCCUUCCACCUCCUGCCCUGGCUCCAGCUGGAACCCGAGGCUGAGCUGUACAACCAUUACCCCACGGCUGUGUCCCAUCAGUGCAGCCUAAGAGCACUGGGAAGCGGCUCAGGACAAAGGUGGGGUCUUCCAGCCAUCACAGGGCCUGGCUGCGGGGUUAGAACAGAACGAGAGCUCAGCACACGAAUUUCACAUUGACAUUUUUAUUAACGCCAACUGCUUUAAUUUUUGUUGUGGUUUUCUGGUUGGUUGGUUGGUUUUUUAAACAAGAGCACAAAAAUGUUUGGGGGGGGAGAAGGGGGGGGAAGCGGUCUGACAGUCUGAUGACCUUCUGAAGUACAGUGAAGCCACAACAAGGAUGAAUUCCUGUUAAAGAAAGGGAAAAAGAACCAUCCGGAGCUCCAACCUUUUAGUCAGAGGGUGUUGUGUUGGUGAGCAGCCCGCCCUGCUUUGACAGCACACGGCUUAGGCUUCAUCAGCACUCCACUCACCGCUCAUUUAAGGCUUCUGAAUCCAUCGACAUCACAGAAAGGAACGGAAAGCUAUUGCUGCUACGGCCACGAGGAGGUGGGACAGGCUGGGCUGCGGGGGCACGGAGCAGAGCGUGCCCUGCCAGCAGUGGGAGAGCUGGGCACGCAGUGCUGCCCGUCGGCAUGCAUGGUGAGGGUGCCGUGGAGUCAGGAGAGAAAGGAUAGACCGCGUGAAUCGUCCUCUCGUUUUAACGUGGCUAUGAGAGAUGUUUCCAUACAAUCCUGGUAUCUCUGAGAAGGACAUCAGCAAAGUGGAACGGAGGAGCGGAGAGCGACAGAACGGUUUUCUUUCCGCUGAGAGGUAACACAAAAAGGGGGGGAAACCUACGAUCCGUGGGGCUGAGGGGGGGGGAAGGGGGGGGGGGGGGUUGCAGGAACGUCUCCCCCAAACCGUGCACUGGGAGCUGUUUGGCCUCCUGCCUUCCGAGCUCUGUGUGGGCACUCAGCCUCUCCUGCCCCGAAUUCUGCUGACCUCACACUGCUGGUUUCCUCUUCUGGGGGGGGGGGGGGGGGGGGGA